rnacentral:misc_RNA from 1 species
UCAUUAUCAACCCUCAAGCCUGGCUUGGUGUUGGACCUUCGUCAUCAAAAGACGGGUCCCAAAGACAAUGACGGAGUCGAGUUGGACCCUAGAUGCAACGAGCUCUCGUAGCACGCAUUGAAGGCCGGCCGCUUUGGUCUUAACCACAUUAUUAUCACAAGGUUGACCUCGGAUCAGGUAGGAAUACCCGCUGAACUUAA